AUUGAACGCUGGCGGCAUGCCUUACACAUGCAAGUCGAACGGCAGCACGGGUGCUUGCACCUGGUGGCGAGUGGCGAACGGGUGAGUAAUACAUCGGAACAUGUCCUGUAGUGGGGGAUAGCCCGGCGAAAGCCGGAUUAAUUCCGCAUACGAUCUACGGAUGAAAGCGGGGGACCUUCGGGCCUCGCGCUAUAGGGUUGGCCGAUGGCUGAUUAGCUAGUUGGUGGGGUAAAGGCCUACCAAGGCGACGAUCAGUAGCUGGUCUGAGAGGACGACCAGCCACACUGGGACUGAGACACGGCCCAGACUCCUACGGGAGGCAGCAGUGGGGAAUUUUGGACAAUGGGCGAAAGCCUGAUCCAGCAAUGCCGCGUGUGUGAAGAAGGCCUUCGGGUUGUAAAGCACUUUUGUCCGGAAAGAAAUCCUUGGCUCUAAUACAGUCGGGGGAUGACGGUACCGGAAGAAUAAGCACCGGCUAACUACGUG
rnacentral:rRNA from 1 species